GAUGGAUAAUGUGUUGGUAGGCUUACCAAGCCAGAGGUUUGUCCUUCGGGUCCCACGUGCCCCACGCUGCUGCUGGCUUGUGCCCCUCCAUUUUCCCCACUGCUGCCUUGGCCACCCCACAGCAUCCUCUGAGAAGGACUUGUGCCUCUGUGUGCUCUGAAGAGGCACUCCGGGGCUGAAAACACAUGCCAGGAAAGAUUUCAUUUCACCAUCUUUUUUUGUUUUUAACAGAAUAACCGAAUCAGUCUCACGCCAUCCUUCCUUAUGCAGCUACAGAGGUUUGUGUCUGCCUAAAUGGAGAAAGAGGAUUGGUAAGAGAGAGAUGAGAAUUUACAGAAUUCAAACAUGAAGAUCUCUGCAAGACGAAAGCUUGUCACCCUCAUAUGUCUUCCUGAUCAGUUGGGAAACAGUCUUAAUCAGCUGAGACAGUCUGAGCAAACUCAGAAAACAAAGGAUUAUUGUUCAGCUCUCUCUAAAAGUGGCCUGAUUAAUACUUGAUUCUGUUGAACAAGGAGUGAAGUUUGGAGAGCCAGCCUGCCUUGGAGAAGUGUGGCUGUCGGUGCUACAGAGCAGCUCUUUCUGAAAUUAUUUUUCCUCAAGAGAGGGAGGACUGCAGCCCCAAACUUGAUUCUGAAGGGUCCAGGAUAUUCAAGCCUUCAAAGGUCAUUCAGACACAAACUAAGACAGACCAUCUAGCAAGCAUGUGGGGAUUGAGUUCAAAAUCAA